CCUCUCUUGUGGUCACUCUCCUAGUGGCAAUAGUCUCUCUCACAUUGCCUUCAGAAACUUCAGCUAACUACCCUUACACCUCUCCACCACCACCGGCCUCUCCUCCCUACCAUUACAAGUCACCACCGCCUCCUUCUCCUUCUCCUCCAGUGCACUACUCACCACCUAAGCAUCCCUACCACCCUAAGUCACCACCACCUCCUGUGUACGCACCACCUAAGCAUCCCUACCACCCUAAGUCACCACCACCUCCUGUGUACCCACCACCUAAGCAUCCCUACCACCCCAAGUCACCACCACCAUCACCAAAGCCUUACCACUACAAAUCCCCACCACCACCUCCUGCUCCAGUGCACUCACCACCCCCACCUAAGGAGCCAUACCACUACAAGUCCCCACCACCACCACCCAAGAAGCCCUACCACUACAAAUCUCCCCCACCACCUCCUCCUCCAGUUCACUCACCACCACCACCCAAGGAGCCUUACCACUACAAAUCUCCACCACCACCACCCAAGAAACCUUACUAUUACAAGUCUCCUCCACCACCACCAAAGAAGCCUUACCACUACAUGUCUCCUCCCCCACCGGUGUACUCACCACCUCCACCAGUGCACUCACACCCACCACCAAAAAAGCCUUACCAUUACAAAUCUCCUCCCCCGCCAGAAUAUUCACCAGCUCCACCAGUGCACUCAACCCCACCACCAAAGAAGCCCUACCAUUACAAAUCCCCACCACCACCACCACCACACAAGAAGCCUUAUUACCCUGUUCACUCACCACCUCCACCUAAGAAGCCUUACCACUACAAAUCCCCACCACCACCUUCUCCUACUCCUCCUAAAUACUCACCACCUAAGCACCCCUACCACUACAAGUCUCCACCACCACCACCAAAGAAGCCUUACCAUUACAAGUCCCCACCACCUCCUUCUCCUACUCCCCCUAAAUACUCACCACCUAAGCACCCCUACCACUACAAGUCACCACCACCACCACCCCAAGAAGCCUUACCACUACAAGUCUCCACCACCACCACCUCCUCCAGUUCCCACACCAUCUCCACCCAAGAAACCUUACCACUACAAGUCUCCCCCACCACCCCCUCCAGUCUACAAGUCUCCUCCACCACCAGUUUACUCACCACCACCACCACCUAAGAAACCUUACAAGCCACCAACUCCUCCAGCAGUUCACCCACCACACGGUUACAUCUAUUCCUCACCCCCACCUCCUCACCACUACUAGAUAUUGAAAGUUUAAUUGCAUCAAGCUGGUAAGCUUCUCCAUUCUAUGCUAUUAUUCAUUAAUUAGUUAGUACUACUGUUGUCAAUUUGGAAAUCACCAUAC
rnacentral:lncRNA from 1 species